AACGAACGCUGGCGGCAGGCUUAACACAUGCAAGUCGAGCGCGUAGCAAUACGAGCGGCAGACGGGUGAGUAACGCGUGGGAAUCUACCCAACCCUACGGAAUAACGCAUGGAAACGUGUGCUAAUACCGUAUACGCCCUUUGGGGGAAAGAUUUAUCGGGGAUGGAUGAGCCCGCGUUGGAUUAGCUAGUUGGUGGGGUAAAGGCCUACCAAGGCGACGAUCCAUAGCUGGUCUGAGAGGAUGAUCAGCCACAUUGGGACUGAGACACGGCCCAAACUCCUACGGGAGGCAGCAGUGGGGAAUAUUGGACAAUGGGCGCAAGCCUGAUCCAGCCAUGCCGCGUGAGUGAUGAAGGCCCUAGGGUUGUAAAGCUCUUUCACCGGUGAAGAUAAUGACGGUAACCGGAGAAGAAGCCCCGGCUAACUUCGUGCCAGCAGCCGCGGU
rnacentral:rRNA from 1 species